UGCAAAAUCACAACAAACUUUAAUACGUUUCCUCUGUUUUGAAACUUUUAGUACGAUUUUUGUCGUCACCGGGUUUAUCACGCGCGCACAUUUCGAGUGGCCUACGCCGUUCGCGGUUUCGAGCAGCUUUUUUGGAGAAGAGCAAUACACGUGGGUUCUUCUGUGGCUUAGUGAAGUGACCGCAAACGAAGUGAUAAGUGUCCACCAGGAUUAAGAUCUGAAUAGUUGAAAAUCGUGUCUACAGGGAAGCCGCCGAAUGCUAGAAAUUCCCGUUUAAAUUGUGUGUUACAAUUAUUCAUGGAAAGUGUGUGAUCAAUCCAAAUCGAUAAAAGAGAAGAAAACCGUUUUAGUGCUUCAGUUCCUAUAUUUUUCCAUCUUCAUUUAACCAUUAACCGCAACCUAUUCUGUGAUCCUAUACCAUCCGCAACUGCAAUUACGCACACAUCCACCCGGUGAUCGACCAUGGCGAACGUGAUACAUAAUGUUGUGGGUCUGAUAGGACUAUUGAUAGCCUAUUCAGCAACGCAGACCGGUGCCAUACGGGUGUACUGGAACACGAACACUGGCCCCAUCGUGCCACCCACCACGACGCCAGUGCCAGUACCUCAACCACCUUUCCGGGAUCCUGCACCGGUCUGGGAAGACCAAUCCGACGAUGUUCCUAAUCCUUAUCCAUACGUGUAAGUAUAUGAUUCU